UAAUAUUUCGAGAUAGAAACCAC
rnacentral:miRNA from 2 species